AUUGAACGCUGGCGGCAGGCCUAACACAUGCAAGUCGAGCGGAUGAGUGGAGCUUGCUCCAUGAUUCAGCGGCGGACGGGUGAGUAAUGCCUAGGAAUCUGCCUGGUAGUGGGGGACAACGUUUCGAAAGGAACGCUAAUACCGCAUACGUCCUACGGGAGAAAGCAGGGGACCUUCGGGCCUUGCGCUAUCAGAUGAGCCUAGGUCGGAUUAGCUAGUAGGUGAGGUAAAGGCUCACCUAGGCGACGAUCCGUAACUGGUCUGAGAGGAUGAUCAGUCACACUGGAACUGAGACACGGUCCAGACUCCUACGGGAGGCAGCAGUGGGGAAUAUUGGACAAUGGGCGAAAGCCUGAUCCAGCCAUGCCGCGUGUGUGAAGAAGGUCUUCGGAUUGUAAAGCACUUUAAGUUGGGAGGAAGGGCAGUAAGUUAAUACCUUGCUGUUUUGACGUUACCAACAGAAUAAGCACCGGCUAACUUCGUGCCAGCAGCCGCGGUAACAC
rnacentral:rRNA from 1 species